rnacentral:rRNA from 1 species
UACAGAGGUCUCAAGCGUUGUUCGGAUUCAUUGGGCGUAAAGGGCGCGUAGGCUGCGGGGUAAGUCGGGUGUGAAAUCUCAGAGCUCAACUCUGAAACUGCACUCGAUACUGCUCUGCUUGAGGACUGGAGAGGAGAUUGGAAUUCACGGUGUAGCAGUGAAAUGCGUAGAUAUCGUGAGGAAGACCAGUGGCGAAGGCGGAUCUCUGGACAGUUCCGUGACGCUGAGGCGCGAAGGCCAGGGGAGCAAACGGG